UGUCACCUAUUCUGGUAUUUUCUCCGUGAUAAGGAAGUUUUCCUUAAGCAAUUUAAAUAUACAAAAAAGCAAAUAAUAUUCAAAACAAGACUUUCCAAUCCGGAAUACUCUAUUAGGAGAUACACUGAACCCAGCGCUAGGCUGUCAAUACAAACAUGCGAACUUUCCGUAUAUAAAUACAGCUUCAGCUGCUGUUGUGCCUCUUCUUCCCUUAGCCUAAAGGAAAAUGUUUUCUUGAAAUACUUCGAUGUAUAUUGUAGCAUUCUUUCAAUAAAAUUUCAGGGCACAAAUAUAAAUAUAUAUACAUACAAAAUUCAAACGCAAAAGUUUAAAAACGUGUUUGUACAAACAAAAAAGCGAAAUAUUUUGAAACUGUUUCUACUCUACAAAUUUAAUGCUUCUAGCUUCGGUCAUACAUUCAAAAUUGUAAAUCUCUGGCUCUUAUUGUUUCACAGAUCAAAGCUUUAAUCAAGACGGAAGGACCCACAGAUAGAUGGACAUACAUACAUAAUUAAUCAUAAAAUCCUAUUUUGACGUGUCCAGUUUGAAAUACUUAAAUAAAGUCGAGCCACCGGAAUGGGUAUCGAGAAAAGGCAGAGAAGAACGUCAGCUUAAUUUUACCCAAUUGAUCAAUUUACUUUCAUGGCCUCCUGCACCCGCUUCAUAUUGGUUGCAUAUGCAGAUGGACGCCGUUGUCGUUGAUUGGCCACAAAAUCGAAAGCCUCUAAUAUGUAUUAGUGAUAAUGAUAAUCAAGCAAGUGAAAGUCAGCAGGAGCAAAAGGCUCGUGGACUUAAUGUAAUUGCAUGAGGACUUGCCUAGCCGGGGUCGCCCUAAUUUUCCAUUAAGGACUCAUUGGCGCUGAAUUAACUUCGUAGGCGCCUUAAAAGAUGUACGUAAUGUCCUGUAACUCGCAGGAUUUGAAGACCAAUUUUUACUAGGAUUAUAGCUCGCUGCAAGACUCGGCUUAAGGCGUGAGUGGUUUGUACAACUCCGUACGCAUACCUGUGUCGCCGGAGUCUAAUGAAAGCAUUCGGAUAUCAGGUGCCCAGCCGCGAAGGGGUUAGGGUUAGAUCUACGAAUACGUACCCUUGCGAGCGUAAAAUUGUUGUAGCAAAAACACAAAAUUUUCACGGUUCAGCAAAAAAUUCGCAUCUUUUUUAUGAAAUGCGGCAUAAACGGAUUUAUAUUGCUGUCAAACAGGCAGCUGAGACGCAUUGUCUCUGGGUCAAAGCUAGAUAUUGCGUUUUCAACGAUUUCUAUGGAAGCGAAACUGCGUCGUCGUCCUCGUCGCGGUUACCUCUCGUCAGGUUACAGGCGCGUCAGCAUCUCACAAAGGGUUGUCGGUAUUUCGGUGACAAUUGUUGCAAUUUCAUCGGACAGAAUCAUAAAAAAAAACACAGGUACAAGCACGCUCAGAGUCUAUAGUCUGCAAAUCGGCAAGGACACGGCCGUAAAUCAAGGACUGCUCACUGGAAAAGUGAAAGUGGCGGACGGAAAGCGGGAAACGCUAAUCGCGGACCAUAUUUUUUAUACGACGAUCUCCAUUGUUGAAGAAGGAGGAUGGACUCCAUGUACUACGACGGAAUAAUAAAAAUGGCUUCCAAGACUUAAGGAGGAAUUUAACAAGGAAUUUACAAAAUGUUGGACACGAGCUGCAAUUGAGAAACGCGGAAUACUUCUUGUAUUUUUAUUUAUUUUAAGCUAAAUACGAAUUGGUUGUAAAUAAUAUUAACUACUUUAUCGAUAGAAGAAAUGACAAAA